rnacentral:tRNA from 1 species
GGGCUGGGGCUCAGAGGUAAAGCGCUCACCUACUAUGCGUGAGACACUGGGUUCAAUCCUCAGCACCACA